CGCCUGUUUAUCAAAAACAUGUCUUUUUGAUUAAAUAAAAAGUNUAGCCUGCCCGGUGAAUUUUUAACGGCCGCAGUAUACUGACUGUGCAAAGGUAGCAUAAUCUAUUGUCUUUUAAUUAAAGGCUUGUAUGAAUGGUUGAAUGAGAUAUUAACUAUUUUUAUUUUAAUAAAAAUGAAUUUUAAUUUUUAGUAAAAAUGCUAAAAUAAAAAAAUUAGACGAGAAGACCCUAUAAAUCUUAAUUUUAUUUUUUAUAAUAUUAAUUUUGAAAAUUUUUAAUAAAUUAUAAAAAUAAAAUUUUAUUGGGAGGAUAAUGAAAUUUAAUAAACUUUUAUUUUUUUUUAUAAAUAUAAUUAAAUUAUUGAAUAUAUAAUUAUAAAAUAUUUAAAAAAUUAAGUUACUUUAGGGAUAACAGCGUAAUUAUUUUAAAGAGUUCUUAUCGAUAAAAUAGUUUGCGACCUCGAUGUUGAAUUAAGAAUUAAUUUAGGUGUAUAAGUUUAAAUUUUAAGUCUGUUCGACUUUUGAAUUCUUACAUGAUCUGAGUUCAUACCGG
rnacentral:rRNA from 1 species